rnacentral:rRNA from 1 species
UACGUAGGGCGCGAGCGUUGUCCGGAAUCACUGGGCGUAAAGGGUGCGUAGGUGGCGCGGUAAGUCGGGUGUGAAAUCUCGGAGCUUAACUCCGAAAUUGCAUUCGAUACUGCCGUGCUCGAGGACUGGAGAGGAGACUGGAAUUCAUGGUGUAGCAGUGAAAUGCGUAGAGAUCAUGAGGAAGACCAGUGGCGAAGGCGGGUCUCUGGACAGUUCCUGACACUGAGGCACGAAGGCCAGGGGAGCAAACGGG